rnacentral:tRNA from 1 species
AAGUGUAGGUUAAACUAAACUCAGGACCUUCAAAGUCCUAAAUAGGGGACCCCAAAACCCCUAACUUCUG